rnacentral:lncRNA from 1 species
CUCCCAAGAAAAAAAAUUCUUGAAAUAAGAAAAUUUUCUUAAAAUAAGAAAAUAAUUUCUUAUUUUAAGAAAAUAAUUUCUCAAAUCAAGAAAUUUUUCUUAAAAAGAAUUUUCUUAUUAAGAAUGUGUUGUUUGGGUGUUUAUAUAUGUACAGUUACUCAGGUGAAUAUUGUUUUUGAUGAUACUCUGAGUGUAUAUGCAGUUAGCAGAGCAUUAGACUAGUUGCGGGUUCGAUUCUCACCAUGGUCAGGCUAACUUUUCAGCCUGCCCGGUGUGGAUAUACACUCAGAGUAACAUACAAAACAUCAAAUUAUAGUCAACUUAUACAGUUCUUUUUUCAGCCACUGUUAUACAACUAGGUGUAGUUCUGAUUGCACAGCAAUGUGUUGUAGCAAAUUUAAGUUCUCCUGAAGACCUGAUGCAGUAAUUUUUCAACUUUUUCCACAUGACAAGCAAUAUCUGACCAACCGUUUGUUCAAAGUCCAUAGAUUUCUUUAUAAUGCACAUUAAACACUGUUCCAAACACAUCAUGCAAAUGCCACUGGAGAUCCAUCAUAUAUACAUCCUUAUACAGCUAGUAAUCUGUAAAAGUAAAAGUUUACUUAUAUAUUGAGAAUGUAAUCAUCACUCUACAGUAAAACUAAGUAUUAUAUGUAGUGUAUACAGAAAUAUAAAUGAAUUUAUUAGCGAUUUUCAGCAGCCUUUCGCGCUUGUAUUCGACUUUUCUGCUUUGCUUGGGGGACAACCUUAAUUGAAAUAGCUAUUAUAUAUAUACAAAAUUGCAAGAACAAUAGACCUGGAGACUUGCUUGCUAAUCUGAGUCACUCCUCAGUUACCUAAGUUAACUCUUUAGAUUAAAAAGCAUAGACGGAUUUUGUGGGGGGGGGGGUGCGCUACCCCUCCCCCCAAUAUUAGCUAUAACU